rnacentral:rRNA from 1 species
UCGGGAAUCUUCCGCAAUGGGCGAAAGCCUGACGGAGCGACGCCGCGUGAGCGAUGAAGGCCUUCGGGUUGUAAAGCUCUGUGGGGAGAGAAGAAUAAGUUCAGGCAAAUACCCUGAAUGAUGACGGUAUCUCCUUAGCAAGCACCGGCUAACUCUGUGCCAGCAGCCGCGGUAAGACAGAGGGUGCAAACGUUGUUCGGAUUUACUGGGCGUAAAGCGUGUGUAGGCGGCUUGGCAAGUUGGAUGUGAAAGCCCACGGCUCAACCGUGGAAGCGCAUCCAAAACUGCUUCGCUCGAGUCUCGGAGAGGAAGGUGGAAUGCUUGGUGUAGAGGUGAAAUUCGUAGAUAUCAAGCAGAACACCUGCGGCGAAGGCGGCCUUCUGGACGAUGACUGACGCUGAGACACGAAAGCGUGGGGAGCAAACAGG